CUCGGGGGAGGGGGAUCCCUCAGCCCAAAUUGUGAGAGGGCACAGGUCAGGCUCAGGGACCCCACUCGUGUAUG
rnacentral:pre_miRNA from 1 species